rnacentral:misc_RNA from 1 species
GAAAUGCGAUACGUAGUGUGAAUUGCAGAAUUCCGUGAAUCAUCGAAUCUUUGAACGCAAAUUGUACUUUCCAGUAAUCUGGGAAGUAUGCUUGGUUGAGGGUCAUUAAAAUAACAUUCGUGAAUUUUUUUGCGGAUUUGAGUUUUCCAGUAUUUUUAUUAUAAAAAAAUGUUGGUAACUUUAAAAUUAUUUAUUACUUGGUACAAGUUGAAAACGUACUAUAUGUGUGGUUCGCUGACAACUUGUCCAUCUUUAUAUAUUAUGCGCGCAUUUGGUUUGUUAUGCUCUGUGCGAGUAUAUAUUUUUUUUAUGACCUCAGCUCAAGCAAGAAUACCCGCUGAACUUAA